rnacentral:rRNA from 1 species
GAUGAACGCUGGCGGCGUGCCUAAUACAUGCAAGUCGAGCGAAUGGAUUAAGAGCUUGCUCUUAUGAAGUUAGCGGCGGACGGGUGAGUAACACGUGGGUAACCUGCCCAUAAGACUGGGAUAACUCCGGGAAACCGGGGCUAAUACCGGAUAACAUUUUGAACCGCAUGGUUCGAAAUUGAAAGGCGGCUUCGGCUGUCACUUAUGGAUGGACCCGCGUCGCAUUAGCUAGUUGGUGAGGUAAUGGCUCACCAAGGCAACGAUGCGUAGCCGACCGGAGAGGGUGAGCGGCAACACUGGGACGGAGACACGGCCCAGACUCCUGCGGGAGGCAGCAGUAGGGAAUCUUCCGCAAUGGACGAAAGUCUGACGGAGCAACGCCGCGUGAGUGAGGAAGGCUUUCGGGUCGUAAAACUCUGUUGUUAGGGAAGAACAAGUGCUAGUUGAAUAAGCUGGCACCUUGACGGUACCUAACCAGAAAGCCACGGCUAACUACGUGCCAGCCGCCGCGGUAA